UACGUAGGGGCCUAGCGUUGUCCGGAUUUAUUGGGCGUAAAGAGCUCGUAGGUGGUUCGUUAAGUCGGAUGUGAAAACUCGGGGCUCAACCCCGAGACGCCAUCCGAUACUGGCGUGACUUGAGUCUGGUAGGGGAGAUCGGAAUUCCUGGUGUAGCGGUGAAAUGCGCAGAUAUCAGGAGGAACACCGAUUGCGAAGGCAGCUCGCUAAACUGAAACUGACGCUGAGGCACGAAAGCGUGGGGAGCGAACAGG
rnacentral:rRNA from 1 species